rnacentral:rRNA from 1 species
GACGAACGCUGGCGGCGUGCUUAACACAUGCAAGUCGAGCGGAAAGGCCUCUUUCGGGGGGUACUCGAGUGGCGAACGGGUGAGUAACACGUGAGUAACCUGCCCUUGACUUCGGGAUAACUUCAGGAAACUGGGGCUAAUACCGGAUAGGAGCUCCUGCUGCAUGGUGGGGGUUGGAAAGUUUCGGCGGUUGGGGAUGGACUCGCGGCUUAUCAGCUUGUUGGUGGGGUAGUGGCUUACCAAGGCUUUGACGGGUAGCCGGCCUGAGAGGGUGACCGGCCACAUUGGGACUGAGAUACGGCCCAGACUCCUACGGGAGGCAGCAGUGGGGAAUAUUGCACAAUGGGUGGAAGCCUGAUGCAGCAACGCCGUGUGCGGGAUGACGGCCUUCGGGUUGUAAACCGCUUUCGCUCAUGACGAAGCUUUGUGUGACGGUAGUGGGUAAAGAAGCACCGGCUAACUACGUG